ACCCCAUUCAUAGAGGCAUUAACCCUCUCCUUUUUA
rnacentral:tRNA from 2 species